rnacentral:lncRNA from 1 species
CACCGCGCCCAGCCGCUCUUCUACCUACAGGUCACAAUAGCAGGUCCUGCUUUGACCUCAUUUUCAGAUGAAGAAACUGAGACCCAGGAGGUCCUGCAAGUGAUUAACAGCUAAUCUUGUCAGCUAUUUUCAGAAUCUCUCCCCUUUCUCUUCUGACAUAAACUAUUUUCAUUGUAUCAAUUAGAGUUCUUGGUUGCAAGCAAAAGAAAUGGGCUCUGGUUGAUAAACAGAAAAGGAAUUUGUUGAAAGGGUAUAUAAGAAUUCACAGAUUGUAAAAGAAAAACAGGAGAACUAGGCUUGAAAAGGGCAUAAGAGACUUCCAGUUAAGGGUGGUGGAUUGAGCCAUAUGCCCUUUAGCCCCUUUUUUAUUUCUUCCAUCCUGCUGCCUGAAACUUGGCUAUAAUGGUUGCAUCUCCAGCAGCCAUUUUGUGAGCAUGAGGAAUCAUGGCAGACGAAAGCAAAUACUAAGGAUAGUGGAUUAAAACAUAGAAGGAACCUGGGUACUGAUGACCAUGAAGCCAUCAUACCAGUACUGGACCACCUUCCUCCAGAAGAACAGACAACAAAAAAUGGAUUAAGGCACAAGACCACCAGCCUGUGAUGGCUCAACCUGUGUUCUUCUGCUUGAUUGAUGGAGACCCGGAAUUCCUUAGGAAUUUGCAAUGGCUUUGCACUGAGUUGAAAUUAUGACUGCAAAACACUGGUUAAUAUUACAGAAAAACCCCAGACAAAGAAGUAAUCAAAGGCUACGGUCUUUGCAGGAAAAACAUAAGUUUUUGCCUGCAAUGAAAAGAUGAAUGGAUUAUAAACGCUGGCAACAGGCUCACUGAGUGAGAACUAUUCAGAACAAUCAUUAAUGGAGGUGCUGGCAUUAAGAAAAUGCUGAGCCCAGGAUGUUACUGAGUAGGACAAAGAUUUUACAUGAAGAGUCCUGGGAAUGGAAAGUAUUAUUCUUUUAAAUAUUUUUUUAUUUUUAAUUAUUAUGGAUACAGAAUAGUCAUGUAUAUUUAUGGGGUACAUGUGAUGUUUUGAUUCAGGUAUACAGUGUGUAAUAAUCCAAUCAGAAUAAUUGAGAUCCAUCACUUUAUGUGUUUGUCAUUUCUUUGUAUUAGGAACAUCCCAAUUUCACUGUUUUAGUUACUUUUGAAUAUACAAUACAUUAUUGCUAACUACAAUCUCCAGAUUGUGCCACUGAAUACAAUAUCUUAUUUAUUCCAGCUAAUUGUA